GUGGAGGACCAGCCGAGGUGUCCGGCGGCGGGAACGGGAGGAGGGCGUGCAGGGCCUGCGGCGAGGCGGACGCGUGCGUGCUGCUGCUGCCGUGCCGGCACCUCUGCCUGUGCCGAUGCUGCGAGGCGGCCGCCGACGCCUGCCCCGUCUGCGCGGCCACCAAGAACGCCUCCCUCCAUGUCCUCCUCCCCUGACCGGACGGACUCCUGCAAGCAGCUCAACGACGUAGGUGCACUGCCCCGUUCGACCGGUCGUGCAUUCCAAGGUCGUGUCAAGAUUAAAAAAAUAAGUCUUUUUUUCUCCUCUUUUCCUUAAACCUCAAUCUGUAUUUUUUCUUUUACGGGUUGUCAAGGAACAAAUUUGUUUUUUUUUUUUGCCCGAGCAUAUUAGAUUAGUGAAGUUGUUGAAACGGUAAAUAGAAUCUGGUAGUAAUAUACAAGCUGCUCAAUAUAUCUCGACGUUUGUUUCGUCUCCGUCUGGAAAAUUUGUCAGUGUGCGUGCGUCACUCCACUCCUCGCAUUCUUCGUUUGCUGAGGUGCUGAACGUUUCCAUAAACGACGCACCUGACGCACAAUGCUUACAUCGCAAGCGUGGGAACAAAAUCAUGCACUCUUUUUCUUUUCCAUUUCGUUCUCUUAUCAAUCGCGUCGAGACCUACAGCGACGUGCUUUUUCUGGAACCAGCAAUUACCUAAUACAAUCAAACUAACACCUAGUAAUUAUAUUCCCCGAUUGACAUAGUAUAUCCUCUUCAGUUAGUAGAAAAGAAGAAUUUGAGUUUCAAAAUUUUGCGUUGUACUAUGCAUGCUGUGAGAAGUGAUGGAUUCACUCACUAAUUUCAGCUUGGAUUGACCAUCACUUGGCGGUUUCAGACUUUCAGACUU
rnacentral:lncRNA from 1 species